rnacentral:rRNA from 1 species
UACGUAGGGUGCAAGCGUUGUCCGGAAUUAUUGGGCGUAAAGAGCUCGUAGGCGGUGUGUCACGUCGGCCGUGAAAACCUGGGGCUUAACUCUGGGCGUGCGGUCGAUACGGGCAUCACUAGAGUUCGGUAGGGGAGACUGGAAUUCCUGGUGUAGCGGUGAAAUGCGCAGAUAUCAGGAGGAACACCGGUGGCGAAGGCGGGUCUCUGGGCCGAUACUGACGCUGAGGAGCGAAAGCGUGGGGAGCGAACAGG